GCGGGCGUAGUUCAAUGGUAGAACCUCAGCCUUCCAAGCUGAUGAGGUGGGUUCAAUUCCCACAGUCCGCUCCA
rnacentral:tRNA from 1 species